rnacentral:rRNA from 1 species
AUGGCAAUCUCCCGCGAGCUCAUCUCACGAUUCGACAAGGCCCAAGAGGAUCGCCUGCUAUCAACUUUGGAGGAUUGGCUACGUAAGCAGCUCAAGAUCUCAUACCUUGGACUAGCCUCCCUUGAGCGCACCAUAGCCAGGCAGCGUGGCCGCAUCACCAUGCUCAAAGAGGGCGACGCCAACACGGCCUUCUUCCACAAGCAAUGCUCAUAUCAUGGGCAGAAGAAUCACAUCGAGCACCUCAUCGAGCCUUGCGACCUGGCAGGACUCGACGAGCCGUUCAACCCCGAGAAAAUAUGGAGCGCCAUCAAGCUUUUGCCGGCUCGCAAAGCUCCCGGGCCGGACGGAUUUACUGCUGAGUUCGUCAGGGCCUGUUGGGGCACCAUCUGA